CCAGGAGGAGGUCUGCCCCAACUGGCUCUGAAACUUCGGCUGCAAGUCCUGCUCCUGGCUCGAGUCCUUAGAGGUCAUCCCCCACUUCUGCUAGACGUGGUCAGAAAUGCCUGUGAUCUCUUCAUUCCUCUGGACAAACUAGGCCUCUGGCGCUGUGGCCCUGGGAUUGUGGGGCUUUGUGGCCUCGUGUCCUCCAUCCUGUCUAUUCUCACCCUAAUCUAUCCCUGGCUACGACUCAAGCCCUGACCUUCCGGUACAGGAUAAGGAGGGGACCUGAAUUGAGGUGGCUUAUGGCAGAUUUUUCCUCCUUCAAACUCCAAACAUAAUUUUUAAGACUAUGUGCCAGUGGACUCUUCCCUUAUAUCUCUGCACCACAAGUUGUUGGAUGUUUCCUCUUCCUCCCUUAUGUCUACCUCACCAACCUCGCUCAUCAUUUGGCCCUUAUCCUUCCUUGUACACCUACCUUCAGAUUUCUGCUUACACUUUGAUUUCAGAGCUUUAUUCCCCAGUCUGUUCUUACUCCUUUGUCGCUUAUCCAGAAUGAUGCUAUGUGUAGCAUCUUGCUGUAAAUCCUGUACAAUGAUUCUGUGUAAAUAGCUGUGGCCUAUGCCAAUAAUGAAGAGCAAGCCUUUCAGGUAAGCAAAUUAAAGUUCAGUUUGCUCAUCGA
rnacentral:lncRNA from 1 species